ACUCGAGGCUCAACCUCGGGCUUGCAGUGGGUACGGGCAGACUAGAGUGCGGUAGGGGAGACUGGAAUUCCUGGUGUAGCGGUGGAAUGCGCAGAUAUCAGGAGGAACACCGAUGGCGAAGGCAGGUCUCUGGGCCGCAACUGACGCUGAGGAGCGAAAGCAUGGGGAGCGAACAGGAUUAGAUACCCUGGUAGUCCAUGCCGUAAACGUUGGGCACUAGGUGUGGGGCUCAUUCCACGAGUUCCGUGCCGCAGCAAACGCAUUAAGUGCCCCGCCUGGGGAGUACGGCCGCAAGGCUAAAACUCAAAGAAAUUGACGGGGGCCCGCACAAGCGGCGGAGCAUGCGGAUUAAUUCGAUGCAACGCGAAGAACCUUACCAAGGCUUGACAUACACCGGAAAAGUGCAGAGAUGUGCUCCCCGCAAGGUCGGUGUACAGGUGGUGCAUGGUUGUCGUCAGCUCGUGUCGUGAGAUGUUGGGUUAAGUCCCGCAACGAGCGCAACCCUCGUCCUAUGUUGCCAGCGGGUCGUGCCGGGGACUCAUAGGAGACUGCCGGGGUCAACUCGGAGGAAGGUGGGGAUGACGUCAAAUCAUCAUGCCCCUUAUGUUU
rnacentral:rRNA from 1 species